GAGACGACAAGGGAGGUUGCACUCCUUGACCUGCUGUUUGUGAACAGAGAAGACCUUGUGGGGGAUGCGACGGUUGGAGGAUGCCUGGGACAAAUCGAUCAUGAGAUGGUGGAGGAGCCAGUGCUAAUCUGGGCCACGGCAGAGGCAGAAGAAAGAAGAGCAUGGACAGAAAGCCCCGGGGCAGGACUGAUUGGGAUGAAAGAAAUUUCUGUUCAAUCGGAAACUGGAGGAGAAGUUAACCAUUAAAAACAAACUAUCCAGGUGCAACAGAAGACAUCCAGCAUGCUCCAUUCAGAUGGAAGAUCUAGGUGAUAAUGUGAUUUUCUACUCUGGCAUGUAGCUAGUUGAUUUGAUUGUCUGCAAAAUAGACCACAUACUCACUCAUAUUGAACUUUCUGUGACCAACACAAAUACAGAGAGGCGGGAGAACUUGGAAGAGAGGACUCAUGAGAAAACCAGCGUCUUGAAAAAAAUCUAUCCUCAUCUCCAUCAGUGAUGGAUUGUCUUAUGACACGAGGUGAGUUUACAACCUUUCAGUCUCUUAAGAAGGCUCUUACUUAAUGCAGUUCUGGCCCCUCUCACUGUUCAAGACAGGUUCAAGUCCUUCUAAAAGUCCUGCCAGGCUUUUGCCUUCAUUGAACAUGAUAACUGAAGUUGUACUGCAGUAGUUAAAUGAAUACCACAGAUUAUUUAUCUGUUUAUGGAUUAAUGCUGUGGUAUCAUGUGUGAUACCUCCUAGGAAACUGCAUAUCUCUGGGAACUUGGCCAUGAGUUUUACUUCCCUAGCCAUUUCCCUCCUUUUCUUGGUUUUCCCUUCUUGCACAUUUCUUUUCAGGUUUAUCCUCUGAGCCACAUGCACUGGUGCUGGGCGGGAAGCUGG